rfam:Candidatus Wildermuthbacteria bacterium RIFCSPLOWO2_01_FTLL_48_29 rifcsplowo2_01_scaffold_22631, whole genome shotgun sequence.
GAUGGGGAUUAUACUGAGGUUGUCCCACCCGUUCCCAUCCCGAACACGGAAGUGAAAUACCUCAAGGCCGAUGGUAGUCGCAAGGCGAGAGUAGGUAGUCCCCAUCU